AUUGAACGCUGGCGGCAGGCUUAACACAUGCAAGUCGAGCGAGUGUCGGCCGGGUGAGUAAUGUCUGUUAAACUGCCUGAUGGAGGGGGAUCACUACUGGAAACUGUAUCUAAUACCGCCUACCAUCAGAUGUUCCCAGAUGGGAUUAGCAAGGAGUUGGCUUAAUGGCUCACGUAGGCGACGAUCCCUAGCUGGUCUGAGAGGAUGACCAGCGAGCAGGGAAAAGAGACACGGUCCAGAUUACUACGGGAGGCAGCAGUGGGGAAUAUGGCACAAUGGGCGAAAGACUGAGGCAGCCAUGCUGCGUGUGUGAAGAAGGCCUACGGAUUGUAAAGAACUUGCAGGGAGGAGGCGUGACUCGCAGAAGAAGCACCGGCUAACUCCGUGCCAGCAGCCGCGGUAAUUC
rnacentral:rRNA from 1 species